rnacentral:lncRNA from 1 species
GUCGAUCCCAAUUCCUCCCAGUCGAUCCCAGUCCCAUCCCAGUUGAUCCCAGUCCCAUCCCAGUCAAUCCCAGUCAAUCCCAGUCCCAUUCCAGCCCCUCCCAGUCGAUCCCAGUCCCACCUGGUUCCAUCCCAGUCGAUCCCAGUCCCUCCCAGUCGAUCCCAGUCCCUCCUGGUCCCAUCCCAGUCCCUCCUGGCCCCAUCCCAGUCCCUCCCAGUAGAUCCCAGUCCCUCCCAGCAGAUCCCAGUCCCUCCCAGUAGAUCCCAGUCCCAUCCUGGUCCCAUCCCAGUCCCUCCCAGUCGAUCCCAGUCCCUCCCAGCAGAUCCCAGUCCCUCCCAGUUGAUCUCAGUCCCUCCCAGUUGAUCUCAGUCCCUCCUGGCCCCAUCCCAGUCCCUCCCAGUUGAUCCCAGUCCCUCCCAGUCGAUCCCAGGCCCUCCUGGCUCCAUCUCAGUCCCUCCCAGCAGAUCCCAGUCCCUCCUGGUCCCAUCCCAGUCCCUCCCAGUAGACUCCAGUCCCUCCCAGUCGAUCCCAGUCCAUCCCAGUCUCACCCUUGUAGGGCCCGCCCUUGAUGGUGAGGGCCACGCUGCCGUCGUAGGCCAGGUACCCGAACCACUCCCCGUGCACCGGGUCACGGAACUGCCGCACACGGACACGCGUGACGCGUGCACACGGACACGCGUGUCAACACGGGAGCACACGCAGAAUCACGUGCACCCACACACGUGACCCCAGCCCCACAUGUGACCCCACAACCACACGCGUGACCCCAGCCCCACGCGUGUGACCCCAAACACGCCUGACUCCACAUGCACAUGUAUGACCCCACAUCUACAUGUAUGACCCCAGCCCCACACGUGUGACCCCAGACCCACACGCAUGACCCCAAACACGCAUGACCCCAGCCCCACAUGUGUGACCCCACAUGCACAUGACACCAGCCCCACACGUGUGACCCCAAACACGCAUGACCCCACAUGCACAUGUAUGACUCCACAUCUACAUGUAUGACCCCACACCCACGUGU